rnacentral:rRNA from 1 species
GCACAUUGCGCCCCCUGGUAUUCCGGGGGGCAUGCCUGUUCGAGCGUCAUUUCACCACUCAAGCCUCGCUUGGUAUUGGGCGACGCGGUCCGCCGCGCGCCUCAAAUCGACCGGCUGGGUCUUCUGUCCCCUCAGCGUUGUGGAAACUAUUCGCUAAAGGGUGCCACGGGAGGUCACGCCGUAAAACAAGCCCAUUUCUAAGGUUGACCUCGGAUCAGGUAGGGAUACCCGCUGAACUUAAGCAUAUCAAUAAGCGGAGGAAAAGAAACCAACAGGGAUUGCUCUAGUAACGGCGAGUGAAGCAGCAAUAGCUCAAAUUUGAAAUCUGGCGUCUUCGGCGUCCGAGUUGUAAUUUGUAGAGGAUGCUUCUGGGCAGCCACCGACCUAAGUUCCUUGGAACAGGACGUCAUAGAGGGUGAGAAUCCCGUAUGCGGUCGGAAAGGCACCCUACACGUAGCUCCUUCGACGAGUCGAGUUGUUUGGGAAUGCAGCUCUAAAUGGGAGGUAAAUUUCUUCUAAAGCUAAAUAUUGGCCAGAGACCGAUAGCGCACAAGUAGAGUGAUCGAAAGAUGAAAAGCACUUUGGAAAGAGAGUUAAAAAGCACGUGAAAUUGUUGAAAGGGAAGGGAUUGCAACCAGACUUGCUCGCGGUGUUCCGCCGGUCUUCUGACCGGUUCAUUCGCCGCGUUGCAGGCCAGCAUCGUCUGGUGCCGCUGGAUAAGACUUGAGGAAUGUAGCUCCCUCGGGAGUG